UUCAAUUCAAUUCAAUUCAAUUUUAUUUGUAUAGCGCCAAUUCAUAACAGAAGUUAUCUCAGGACACUUUUCAAAUAGAGCAGGUCUAGACCGAACUCUUUAACAUUAAUUACAGAGACCCAACAGUACCACCAUGAGCAAGCACUUGGCGACAAGGGCAAGGAAAAACUGCCUGUUAAAAGGCAGAAACCUAGGACAGAUCCUCCGGCUCUAGGUGGGUGGUCGUCUGUCUCGACCAGUUGGGGUGAGAGAGAGAGAGAGAGAGAGAGAGAGAGAGAGAGAGAGAGAGAGAGAGCGACAGACAGACAGACAGACAGGUGCACAGCAACAACAGUAUUGGCAAUGGCAGUCAAGCAGGACCAUGGCAGGAGGCUCCACCAGGAUCGAUAAGAACCUGCGAGACGAGAAAGCACAAGAACUCCGGGGAAGAAGUGAAGUUAGUAACAUGCAUUAAUGGGACAUGAAUGAGUGCAGAAAGAGAGAGGAAGAGAGUAGCUCAGUGCACCAUGGGAAAUCCCCCGAUAGUCUAGGCCUAUAGCAGCAUAACUAAGGGAUGGUUCAGGACUCACCUGAUCCAGCCCUAACUAUAAGCUUUAUCAAAGAGGAAUGUCUUAAGCCUACUCUUGAAUGUGGUGAGGGUGUCUGCCUCCAGAACCACAACUGGAAGCUGGUUCCACAGGAGAGGAGCUUGGUAACUGAAGGCUCUGGCUCCUGUUCUACUUUUAGAGACUAUAGGAACCACAAGUAGCCCUGCAUUUAGAGAACGUAAUGUUCUAGUGGGGUAAUAGGGUACUAUGAGCCCUUUAAGAUAUGAAGGGGCCUGACCAUGAAGAGCUUUAUAGGUGAGGAGGAGGAUUUUAAAUUCAAUUCUACAUUUUAUAGGGAGCCAAUGCAGAGUAGCUAGUACAGGAGAGAUGUGAUCUCUUUUUCUAGUUCCUGUCAGUACUCGUGCUGCAGCGUUCUGAAUUAAUUGGAGCGUUUUAAUGGACUUAUUGGGGCAACCUGAUAAUAAAGAGUUGCAGUAAUCCAGCCUUGAAGUAACAAAUGCAUGGAUUAGUUUUUCUGCAUCUGUCUGUGAUAGUAUGUGUCUUAUUUUUCUAAUAUUACGUAAAUGAAAGAAGGCAGUCCUAGAGGUCUGCUUUAUGUGGGAGUUAAAUGACAAAUCCUGAUCAAAGAUAACUCCAAGAUUCCUGACAGUGGUGCUAGAGGCCAAGUUAAUGCCAUCUAGAGUAACUAUAUCUUUAGACAGUGAGUCUCUAAGGUUUUUGGGGCCAAGAACAAGAAUUUCGGUUUUUUCUGAGUUUAACAUCAGAAAAUUGCA